AUUUUAAAUUGGCUACCCAAUUUUUCAAAAUUUUUUAUUUUACUAUCUAAAUUUUUACAGAUUUAGUCAGUACGUUUCGAACAAUUCUUGCAACCAUAAAUUCAUUAAAGUAUUUAGUUGAAAUUUUAAAUUCAAAGUAUCAUUGGCUUACGCAAAUUAAAAUAAAUUGAAGUGUUGGGUAGUAAAACCAAGAUUUUAAAUUAAAAGACUGGGUAACCGACUCAAAAUGGCCUGUAGUUUAUAUAAGUUCCGUAUAAUUUUUACUAUCCGCAA
rnacentral:lncRNA from 1 species